AGCUGUUCCCCUCUGGAGGUUUAAUUACCUUCACAACUUAUAAGGGCCCAAGUCAUCUUGUGGCCCUCUUUUUUUGUCUAC
rnacentral:ncRNA from 5 species